rnacentral:rRNA from 1 species
AUUGAACGCUGGCGGCAGGCCUAACACAUGCAAGUCGCACGAGUGGCGGACGGGCGAGUAAUGUCUGGGAAAAUGCCUGAUGGAGGGGGAUAACUACUGGAAACGGUAGACAAAAUCGCAUACCACCGGAUGCGCCCAGAUGGGAUUAGCUAGUAGGGGGGGUAAAGGCUUACCUAGGCGACGAUCCCUAGCUGGGCUGAGAGGAUGACCAGCCACACUGGAACGGAGACACGGUCCAGACUCCUACGGGAGGCAGCAGUGGGGAAUAUUGCACAAUGGGCGCAAGCCUGAUUCAGCCAUGCCGCGUGUGUGAAGAAGGCCUUCGGGUUGUAAAGCACUUUCAGCGAGGAGGCGUUACUCGCAGAUGAAGCACCGGCUAACUCCGUGCCAGCAGCCGCGGUAAUAC